rnacentral:rRNA from 1 species
CCUACGGGUGGCAGCAGUGGGGAAUAUUGCACAAUGGGGGAAACCCUGAUGCAGCGACGCCGCGUGAGUGAAGAAGUAUUUCGGUACGUAAAGCUCUAUCAGCAGGGAAGAAAAUGACGGUACCUGACUAAGAAGCCCCGGCUAACUACGUGCCAGUAGCCGCGGUAAUACGUAGGGGGCAAGCGUUAUCCGGAUUUACUGGGUGUAAAGGGAGCGUAGACGGCAGCGCAAGUCUGGAGUGAAAUCCCAUGGCUUAACCAUGGAACUGCUUUGGAAACUGUGCAGCUAGAGUGCAGGAGAGGUAAGCGGAAUUCCUAGUGUAGCGGUGAAAUGCGUAGAUAGUAGGAGGAACACCAGUGGCGAAGGCGGCUUACUGGACUGUAACUGACGUUGAGGCUCGAAAGCGUGGGGAGCAAACAGGAUUAGAUACCCCAGUAGUC